rnacentral:rRNA from 1 species
UACAGAGGUCUCAAGCGUUGUUCGGAUUCAUUGGGCGUAAAGGGUGCGUAGGCGGCGCGGUAAGUCGGGUGUGAAAUCUCGGGGCUUAACUCCGAAACUGCAUUCGAUACUGCCGUGCUUGAGGACUGGAGAGGAGACUGGAAUUUACGGUGUAGCGGUGAAAUGCGUAGAUAUCGUAAGGAAGACCAGUGGCGAAGGCGGGUCUCGUGGACAGUUCCUGACGCUGAGGCACGAAGGCCCAGGGGAGCAAACGGG